rnacentral:rRNA from 1 species
AGCGAACGCUGGCGGCAGGCCUAACACAUGCAAGUCGAACGAACUCUUCGGAGUUAGUGGCGGACGGGUGAGUAACACGUGGGAACGUGCCUUUUGGUUCGGAAUAACUCAUGGAAACUUGUGCUAAUACCGAAUGUGCCCUUCGGGGGAAAGAUUUAUCGCCAUUAGAGCGGCCCGCGUCUUAUUAGCUUGUUGGUGAGGUAACGGCUCAUCAAGGCGACGAUCAUUAGCUGGUCUGAGAGGAUGACCAGCCACACUGGGACUGAGACACGGCCCAGGCUCCUACGGGAGGCAGCAGUGGGGAAUCUUGCGCAAUGGGCGAAAGGCUGACGCAGCCAUGCCGCGUGAAUGAUGAAGGUCUUAGGAUUGUAAAAUUCUUUCACCGGGGACGAUAAUGACGGUACCCGGAGAAGAAGCCCCGGCUAACUUCGUG